CACUCUAGAGAGACUGCCAGGGAUAACCUGGAGGAAGGUGGGGAUGACGUCAAAUCAUCAUGCCCCUUAUGCUUAGGGCUACACACGUGCUACAAUGGGUAGUACAGAGGGUUGCCAAGCCGUAAGGCGGAGCUAAUCCCUUAAAGCUACUCUCAGUUCGGAUUGUAGGCUGAAACUCGCCUACAUGAAGCUGGAGUUACUAGUAAUCGCAGAUCAGAAUGCUGCGGUGAAUGCGUUCCCGGGUCUUGUACACACCGCCCGUCCCACCACGGGAGUUGGAGACGCCCGAAGCCGAUUAUCUAACCUUUUGGAAGAAGUCGUCGAAGGUGGAAU
rnacentral:rRNA from 1 species